CCACUUCUCUAUUGCCAUCACCUCCAAAAAAUUCAGAUUACCCUUUCUUUAGUAUAUCCUACAAGACUGGGAAUCUCAAGAUGGAGCUUCUUCAUGGCGGCCAUGAAUCAGAGCUGGAAUCUGCAAUGAGAAGAAGAAUCAUGAGUUUUCUUAACAUUUCAGAAAACGAUUACAGCAUGGUUUUCACUGCCAACAGAACUUCAGCUUUCAAACUUGUUGCAGAAUCUUACCCGUACAAAACUAGUAGAAAGCUUCUGUCAGUUUAUGACUAUGAGAGUGAGGCAGUGGAAUCAAUGAUUAACAGCUCGGAAAAGAGAGGCGCCCAAGUCAUGUCAGCU
rnacentral:lncRNA from 1 species